rnacentral:rRNA from 1 species
UACGUAGGUGACAAGCGUUGUCCGGAUUUACUGGGCGUAAAGAGCGCGCAGGCGGUCGAUCAAGUCGAGUGUGAAAGCCCCCGGCUCAACUGGGGAGGGUCAUUCGAUACUGAUCGACUCGAAGGCAGGAGAGGGUAGUGGAAUUCCCGGUGUAGUGGUGAAAUGCGUAGAUAUCGGGAGGAACACCAGUGGCGAAGGCGACUACCUGGCCUGUUCUUGACGCUGAGACGCGAAAGCGUGGGGAUCAAACAGG